rnacentral:rRNA from 1 species
UACGUAGGUGGCGAGCGUUGUCCGGAUUUACUGGGUGUAAAGGGCGUGUAGGCGGGGAUAUAAGUCAGAUGUGAAAUUCCAUGGCUCAACUGUGGGGCUGCAUCUGAAACUAUGUCUCUUGAGUGCUGGAGAGGAAAGCGGAAUUCCUAGUGUAGCGGUGAAAUGCGUAGAUAUUAGGAGGAACACCGGUGGCGAAGGCGGGUCUCUGGGCCAAAACUGACGCUGAGGAGCGAAAGCGUGGGGAGCGAACAGG